AUUGAACGCUGGCGGCAUGCCUUACACAUGCAAGUCGAACGGUAACAGGUCUUCGGAUGCUGACGAGUGGCGAACGGGUGAGUAAUACAUCGGAACGUGCCUAGUAGUGGGGGAUAACUACUCGAAAGAGUGGCUAAUACCGCAUGAGAUCUACGGAUGAAAGCAGGGGAUCGCAAGACCUUGUGCUACUAGAGCGGCCGAUGGCAGAUUAGGUAGUUGGUGGGAUAAAAGCUUACCAAGCCGACGAUCUGUAGCUGGUCUGAGAGGACGAUCAGCCAAGCUGGGACUGAGACAGGGCCCAGACUCCUACGGGAGGCAGCAGUGGGGAAUUUUGGACAAUGGGCGAAAGCCUGAUCCAGCAAUGCCGCGUGCAGGAUGAAGGCCUUCGGGUUGUAAACUGCUUUUGUACGGAACGAAAAGCCCUGGGUUAAUACCCUGGGGUCAUGACGGUACCGCAAGAAUAAGCACCGGCUAACUACGUGCCAGCCGCCGCCGUAA
rnacentral:rRNA from 1 species